AUGGUGGGAAAACUCCCAAAAUUUAAGUUCGCAGAUGCAAAUCAAGAGCCAACUAUGCAAGCAGGCCCUUCUAAGGAUGGCAGUUUCAGGCCCACUGUGUCAACUCUUUUCUAUAUGUGCACACACAUACAGUGACACUUCCGUGAGCACAAGGGAUGCCCUUCACUCUCUAGCACCUCUAGACCCUUUCUAGUCUAGACAAUGGCUGAGGGAUUAUGAGUGUGGGCUGGGACAAUGACAUCACAAACCUUCAACCCACAGCCUGGCCCUGGGAGAAGACCUAUUAUUUCUUCAAAGCAGCCAUGGGAACCAGGCUCCUCUGUUAUGUGGCCUUUUGUUUCCUGGCUGUAGGCCUCGUGGAUGUGAAAGUAACCCAGAGCUCAAGAUAUCUAAUCAAAAGGACAGGAGAGAAAGUUUUUCUGGAAUGUGUCCAGGAUAUGGACCAUGAAAGAAUGUUCUGGUAUCGACAAGACCCAGGUCUGGGGCUACGGCUGAUCUAUUUCUCAUAUGAUGUUAAACUGAACGAAAAAGGAGAUAUUCCUGAGGGGUACAGUGUCUCUAGAGAGAAGAAGGAGCGCUUCUCCCUGAUUCUGGGGUCCGCCAGCACCAACCAGACAUCUAUGUACCUCUGUGCCAGCAGUUUAUCCACAGCACAGCACAGCCACAUACUCUCUGCACAAAAAGAGCAGACGUAAGAGAGAAGAGGCCCUAACUCAGGGCAGGUGCUGACUCCAAUGGCACAUUCGUGCUAAAUAGAAAAAAGUGGCUGCUAAGGAGAAACUAGCUCCAUAAGCAUACUUCUUUGCAAGGAGAGAAUGAGGUAUUAUUUUUCACCCCUAUACAAGUCAGGGACUGUUCUGGAUUUAAUCCCCCCAGUCUAACGUGUUGUAAAUUCACGAGCCCCAACAAGGAGGAGAAGUCUUCUCGCAUAUUCACACCGUAGCCCUGUUCUACCAUUUCGUUAAUUUUACCUGCCCUUUUCUAUCCUUGUCUCUCUUACUGUGAUUUUCUACUUUGCUUAGUGUUUUGUUCUUGGUUGAUAUUUCACUAUCACUAAGUGGUGUUUCACUUAGUAAUUUCACUUAGUAAUUUGCUCUUGGUUGAAUUUAACAUAUUCUAAAUUCUUUUGAUGAUUUUUACUGUCCAUGUGCUGAUUCAAGAGAAAGUGUGUGGAAUUUGAAUUCUGUUCAUUCAAGUUUGAAAGAGAAAAACUCUGAUUAAAACAAAUCUUCCAGGUUCUCUGAUCAAUCUUAUUUUGCUGGAAAAAAGUUCUGAUCACAGAAGGUUUAAACUAUGCUGCAGAAGGUGGUAGGAAUUUGGCUAUAACUGCACUCACACUCUUCUGGAAAAAGUGUGUAUUUGUUUUGAAGAAUAAAACACAUGCUCUUCUGUCAGUAAAAAUUAACAGUGCUUUGGAAAUACAAAUAAAUGUAAAGGGUAUUAAAAAUCCCAAACUGCAGAGCACUUGCACAAUUAUUAUUGGCAAGACAAAACAGGCAUCUUUAAACAUAUUUUGAUUCAGUGCUAAACUUUUGUGUGGAAGAAGUCAGAGAAAAAAUUUAAAUCAAUGUGUAUUACAGUAUUCAAGAUUAAGUUUGUAUGAGAUAGGACUUGAGCUGAUUUUGAAUACAAGUAAAUGAGGGAAGAGAAACUAUCAAAAGAAAGAAAUACCCUGCAAAUGUUUCUGUGAGAGAUUCUACCAGAAUGAAGAGGAAGAUUCUUUCCCUGAGGAAAGGCAGGAAUCAGAAUUCUCCUGGCUGAGGUCAACAUCCAGAAGAGAGAAAGCACAUCUUCCCAGAAUAUCAUUAAAAUCCUUUCCCUUUUGCCCCGAGAAUACACUGUAGUUGUGCUUGUGACUGCAGCAUUUCCCCUGAGAUAACACACAAGGUUUGAUACAAGAAAUUCUUUUGCCACCUUCUAAACAUUACAGUGCUUAACUCCUACAUCCUGUUCGAGAAGGAGCAUUCUGAGCACACGAUUAGCCAUAGAAACCUCAGACUGACAUUGAUUAAAAGGGUGCUGAAAAAACAUCACGAGCCAGGGCAGCAACGUCUCUGAAGUCAUCCAUGCUCUGAUGAUGUCACACCUCCUCCUCUUCACCUGACUGGAAGACAUUUCCCCAAAAGCAUUACCACCAACAUCAAAGAAACAAAACCCAACUGGUCACUGCAACUUUUGCUGCUUACACAAAGACGAGGAUGGCAAGAUGGCAAGAUCUGUAGAGAACGGCAAUAUUUUUUUGUGGAAUGUGAUGUUCCGCUUUCUGUUGUUCUGUGCUUUGACAUUU